GACGAACGCUGGCGGCGUGCUUAACACAUGCAAGUCGAACGCAGUGGCGAACGGGUGAGUAACGUGUAAUCAACCUGCCCUUCAGAGGGGGACAACAGUUGGAAACUACUGCUAAUACCGCAUACUGAAGGAGGGGAUUGCGUCUGAUUAGCUAGUUGGAGGGGUCACGGCCCACCAAGGCCAUGAUCAGUAGCCGGUCUGAGAGGAUGAACGGCAACAUUGGGACUGAGACACGGCCCAGACUCCUACGGGAGGCAGCAGUGGGGAAUCUUCCGCAAUGGACGAAAGUCUGACGGAGCAACGCCGCGUGAGUGAUGACGGCCUUCGGGUUGUAAAGCUCUGUUAAUCGGGACGCGGUACCGGAAUAGAAAGCCACGGCUAACUACGUGCCAGCAGCCGCGGUAAUAC
rnacentral:rRNA from 1 species